UAGUGGAAGCGUCUGGAAAGGCGUGCGAUACAGGGUGACAGCCCCGUACACAAAAAUGCACAUAUUGUGAGCUCGAUGAGUAGGGCGGGACACGUGGUAUCCUGUCUGAAUAUGGGGGGACCAUCCUCCAAGGCUAAAUACUCCUGACUGACCGAUAGUGAACCAGUACCGUGAGGGAAAGGCGAAAAGAACCCCGGCGAGGGGAGUGAAAAAGAACCUGAAACCGUGUACGUACAAGCAGUGGGAGCCUCUUAAUGGGGUGACUGCGUACCUUUUGUAUAAUGGGUCAGCGACUUAUAUUCUGUAGCAAGGUUAACCGAAUAGGGGAGCCGAAGGGAAACCGAGUCUUAACUGGGCGCUAAGUUGCAGGGUAUAGACCCGAAACCCGGUGAUCUAGCCAUGGGCAGGUUGAAGGUUGGGUAACACUAACUGGAGGACCGAACCGACUAAUGUUGAAAAAUUAGCGGAUGACUUGUGGCUGGGGGUGAAAGGCCAAUCAAACCGGGAGAUAGCUGGUUCUCCCCGAAAGCUAUUUAGGUAGCGCCUCGUGAAUUCAUCUCCGGGGGUAGAGCACUGUUUCGGCAAGGGGGUCAUCCCGACUUACCAACCCGAUGCAAACUGCGAAUACCGGAGAAUGUUAUCACGGGAGACACACGGCGGGUGCUAACGUCCGUCGUGAAGAGGGAAACAACCCAGACCGCCAGCUAAGGUCCCAAAGUCAUGGUUAAGUGGGAAACGAUGUGGGAAGGCCCAGACAGCCAGGAUGUUGGCUUAGAAGCAGCCAUCAUUUAAAGAAAGCGUAAUAGCUCACUGGUCGAGUCGGCCUGCGCGGAAGAUGUAACGGGGCUAAACCAUGCACCGAAGCUGCGGCAGCGACACUAUGUGUUGUUGGGUAGGGGAGCGUUCUGUAAGCCUGUGAAGGUGGCCUGUGAGGGUUGCUGGAGGUAUCAGAAGUGCGAAUGCUGACAUAAGUAACGAUAAAGCGGGUGAAAAGCCCGCUCGCCGGAAGACCAAGGGUUCCUGUCCAACGUUAAUCGGGGCAGGGUGAGUCGACCCCUAAGGCGAGGCCGAAAGGCGUAGUCGAUGGGAAACAGGUUAAUAUUCCUGUACUUGGUGUUACUGCGAAGGGGGGACGGAGAAGGCUAUGUUGGCCGGGCGACGGUUGUCCCGGUUUAAGCGUGUAGGCUGGUUUUCCAGGCAAAUCCGGAAAACCAAGGCUGAGGCGUGAUGA
rnacentral:rRNA from 1 species